UACGUAGGGGGGCGAGCGUUGUCCGGAGUUACUGGGCGUAAAGCGCACGCAGGCGGUCUGCUAAGUUUGGAGUGACAGUUGGUGGCUUAACUGCCAAAGUGCUUCGAAAACUGACAGACUUGAGGGCUUCAGAGGGACACGGAAUUCCGGGUGGAGUGGUGAAAUGCGUAGAGAUCCGGAGGAACACCAAUGGCGAAGGCAAUGUUCUGGCUCGUUUCUGACGCUCAGGUGCGAAAGCCAGGGGAGCGAACGGG
rnacentral:rRNA from 1 species